AUACGGAGGAUCCGAGCGUUAUCCGGAUUUAUUGGGUUUAAAGGGUGCGCAGGCGGAAGAUUAAGACGGCGGUGAAAUUUUGCAGCUCAACUGUAAAAGUGCCAUCGAUACUGGUUUUCUUGAGUGUGGAUGAAGUAGGCGGAAUUUGUGGUGUAGCGGUGAAAUGCAUAGAUAUCACGAGGAACUCCGAUUGCGCAGGCAGCUUACUAGGCCAUAACUGACGCUCAGGCACGAAGGCGUGGGGAUCAAACAGGAUUAGAUACCCUGGUAGUCCACGCAGUAAACGAUGAUUACUCGCUGUUUGCGAUACACAGUAAGCGGCUUAGCGAAAGCGUUAAGUAAUCCACCUGGGGAGUACGUUCGCAAGAAUGAAACUCAAAUGAAUUGGCGGGG
rnacentral:rRNA from 1 species